GUGUCAGCAGCCGCGGUAAUACGAAGGGGGCUAGCGUUGCUCGGAAUGACUGGGCGUAAAGGGCGCGUAGGCGGUGCAUUUGGUCAGGCGUGAAAUUCCUGGGCUUAACCUGGGGACUGCGCUUGAGACGGGUGUGCUGGAGGGCAGGAGAGGCUCGCGGAAUUCCCAGUGUAGAGGUGAAAUUCGUAGAUAUUGGGAAGAACACCGGUGGCGAAGGCGGCGAGCUGGCCUGUACCUGACGCUGAGGCGCGACAGCGUGGGGAGCAAACAGGAUUAGAAACCCGUGUAGUCC
rnacentral:rRNA from 1 species